ACAAGUAAAUAGCGGUCUGGUGCCUUUUAUGGUUAAAAGGGAAGGCGGUGAGAGGCCGCCACAGCCCCGCUACUGUAAACGGUUAUUUUCGGCCUUAUGCCACUGUCUUGUAUGGGAAGGCAUAAGAUAAUUUAUCGACCGUAAGUCAGGAAACCUGCCAUACCGCAAGCCUUUAA
rnacentral:ncRNA from 2 species